rnacentral:lncRNA from 1 species
CCGACGCCGAAUCAUGUCGAUGAGUCCAAAGCACACGACUCCGUUCUCAGUGUCUGACAUCUUGAGUCCCCUGGAGGAAAGCUACAAGAAAGUGGGCAUGGAGGGCGGCGGCCUCGGGGCUCCGCUCGCAGCUUACAGACAGGGCCAGGCGGCCCCGCCGGCCGCGGCCAUGCAGCAGCACGCCGUGGGGCACCACGGCGCCGUCACCGCCGCCUACCACAUGACGGCGGCGGGGGUGCCCCAGCUCUCCCACUCCGCCGUGGGGGGCUACUGCAACGGCAACCUGGGCAACGUGAGCGAGCUGCCACCUUACCAGGACACCAUGCGGAACAGCGCUUC